CUGGGUUAAAACAACGGUUUUUGAAUAGGUUAAAAUGGCGAUUCAAACCGCCGUUAUUUCCAGGGUUAAAAUGACGAUUUUUGGAUAGGUUAAAACGGCAGUUUGAACCGCCAUUAUUACCCUGACAGAGUGGCGUUUUGGUUGGUUAAAAUGGCAGUUCAAACCGCUGUUAUUUCCAGCGUUAACAUGGCGAUUUUUGGAUAGGUUAAAACGGCAGUUUGAACCGCCAUUAUUACCUUGACAGAGUGGCGUUUUGAUUGGUUAAAACGGCAUUUUUGAACUGCCGUUUUACCCUGACAGUGACAUUUUUUAUCGUUUAAAAAAAUAAUUUUUACUGUCAUUUUUAUUGCGUUAAAUAAAUAAUUGUGAUUAAAAUUUCACAAUAGCAAAAAAUCAUAAUCCAUAAAUGAAAUAUUAUAUAACUCGUAUACAAAAUAUUAAUAUAAUAUAUAAUUUUUUAUUAUUGAAAAUCAAAAGUAAUAACUCUUAUACAAAACCUUGUCUUACUAAACUUACCAAAAUACAAGCAUUGCAAUAAACACUAAUCAGUCAAAUCUACCAUGCAGUUUCCUAAACUAUGUUAAUAUCUAAUAAUGUAUUUAAACCAUCUAAUAAGUGAUGUAUUUACUACUUAUAAUAUGAAUAUACAAGACAAGUAGCUUAGCUAAGUGAUGAUGAAUAAGAUUUGGAGACCAAAAGUUUUCUCCUUUUCUAAUUAACUUUAAAACAAGCCUGCCUUAGUUUCUUGGUCUCUUGUGUGAGUUUCAUCCUGGGAACUUGCUCCAACAUCUUUGUUUCUUGCUCCAACACUCCAACUUCAUUAUCCAAACUCAUCUCUUACAAAGAUUUGUAGGAACCUCUCCUGUCAGGGAAUUUCUAUCAAGCCGGCUGUUAUAAAUUGAAAUUAUAACAAUGAAAAGAUGUCAUUAGAAACAAUAUAUAACUAGUCAAAUAAUAUAAAGA